UACGUAGGGAGCAAGCGUUGUUCGGAUUUACUGGGCGUAAAGGGCGCGUAGGCGGCGUGUUAAGUCAGCUGUGAAAUCUCCAAGCUCAACUUGGAACGGCCAGCUGAUACUGAUGUGCUAGAGUGCAGAAGGGGCAAUCGGAAUUCCUGGUGUAGCGGUGAAAUGCGCAGAUAUCAGGAGGAACACCGGUGGCGAAGGCGGGUCUCUGGGCAACAACUGACGCUGAGGAGCGAAAGCGUGGGGAGCGAACAGG
rnacentral:rRNA from 1 species